UACGAAGGGGGCUAGCGUUGCUCGGAAUUACUGGGCGUAAAGGGCGCGUAGGCGGACAGUUCAGUCGGGGGUGAAAGCCCGGGGCUCAACCCCGGAACUGCCUUCGAUACUGGCUGUCUUGAGUACGGGAGAGGUGUGUGGAACUCCGAGUGUAGAGGUGAAAUUCGUAGAUAUUCGGAAGAACACCAGUGGCGAAGGCGACACACUGGCCCGUUACUGACGCUGAGGCGCGAAAGCGUGGGGAGCAAACAGG
rnacentral:rRNA from 2 species